ACUAACACGGCAACUAACGAGAUUUGUGCUCCAAAGUUUGAUUUAUACUUUGGAUUCAUCUUGUCAGACCGGCUGUAAAUAAUAUCUACUAAGAGCAACAUUUUACAUGGUCCAUUUUCAGUUUGCUCAGAUUGCUCAGAAGCCUGCAGUGAGUAGCCUGAGGAAAGAGCAAUGGCAUUUUACAUCAUGUCCUGAAAGUCAUCAGUCCAUAACCACUAAGAAGUGAUGCAAAAUGCUAGUAAUCCCUGCCCAGCAAGCAAUCCGAGUCCAUGCAGAAAGCUCCUGAAAAACAUCAUCUGUGUAAGGAAGAAAUUCCUUCCUACAUCUCGGUUAUCAGGAGCAGGAAGCAGGCUGCAGCAGAUGAGGUUAGCUGAAAUCACAAAUCAGAGCGCCUACUUCUUGAGACUCCUGCCUCAGUUUUGUCUCCUGUGGACCUGGACUGGUAACAACUUCCUGCCUACCAGGGAUGCUGCAAAGAUUAUUACACACUUACCAGAUUAUGAGCGAGGCCAAGUUUGGACUCUGUGAUGAUUUUCAGACGCUCAAAUGGAUUGCCCAGUAGAGGGAGCAAAGGGAGCACUGUGGACACAGUACACUUUCAGAAGCUCGCAGAAAGUCUUCACCCGUGCAAGCCAUCCUUAAGUGCUUCUCCCCAGUCCCGGGGGUGGGUCAGCGCGGGUUAGUGUGCCACUGAGCCAAGCAGAAACAACGACCAGGAGAAAAAUGGCCUUUGGACAACCAGGUCUUGAGUGGAUGCUGCCAGUGCAGCCAGACAGAGAGAGCAUAAACUGCUGCUGUUCAGGGUUUAAAAAUACUUUCUUAAUACUUGUUUAUUUAAAUCCCAUACAAUAAUUUAUUUAAAUAAUACAUAAAAAUUUUGAUCCAUUAUUUCAAUGAAUUAUAAUGUAAUUAAUAUGUGUAAGAUAAUACCAUGUCUUUAUUAAUAUAAUAAUUAAUAUAAAUAGAAUUUAAUAAUAAUAAUUACCCUUUGACAAAUUUGGGGUUGAUUCUCAUAGACAGCACACAGUUUUCCCUCAAGAGUGGGUAAGGCUUCAUGAGCAGCUAGAGCACGCUUAAUUCUGAUACUAAAGACAAUUUCCACCCUGUUGUAUUUAGUUCUGCAUAUUGGCCUAGGGAGAUGCUGUACCAAGGCCUCAGUGGGGUGGCAACUGAAAGCUUUUUUACUUGGAGGUUGGGCUUGCUCACUAGAGGUGGGAUCGGCACAAACAGCCUGCACUGCUCACGCUACAAUAGACAAGCAGAAAGUUGCAACAGAAAUAAAAAUCUCGGUGUUGGAAGACAACACGUCGAUUUUCUGGUUACAAUUAGUUGCACACCUGCCUUUCACCAGCUUAGUGAUGACUGUCUAAAUCCAUGUAGUGUUUAUUCUCUGAUUAGUUUGUAAAAUGUUAAAAAAGCCAUUAGGUACAUAUUCAGAAUAUUACUUCAUGUGUUUACUAAAUGGGAAAACUAAAGAUAAGACGAGAUUUUCCUUUAAAGUAGUCUGACCAACACAAAUACCCUCCUCUUACAGGAAUGCCAAAAUCAUUAGCGCUGUUGUAUUUAGGUAAAUUAAUGCUAUUGUAUUGUAUUAGUGCUAUUGUAUUCAGGCUAUUGUAUUUGGUGAUCUGACUUCAUGAUUUUCUUUGCUUUUAUUGAAACUUCAGGCAACUGGCUAAACAAAGGCCAUGCUUCUCCCUAAAAGUGUAUGCCACAGUGAACUGAAAAUUUAUAGCAUAUCUUAUUAAACAUAUCGAUGAGCCAAAUAUUUUUUGCCUUUGUAUCAUUUUCAUGGUUUUAAUUUAAAGAAAUAAUUUUUACUGGAAAGAAAAUUCAGGACAAAAUUUUAGACUUUCAUUUAUUUGAAGUAGCAAGGAAGGAAUGAUUUUUAAAAGAAGUUUUUCAAGGAAUCUCCUUUUCU